GGAUAACUCCGGGAAACCGGGGCUAAUACCGGAUGGUUGUUUGAACCGCAUGGUUCAAACAUAAAAGGUGGCUUCGGCUACCACUUACAGAUGGACCCGCGGCGCAUUAGCUAGUUGGUGAGGUAANGGCUCACCAAGGCGACGAUGCGUAGCCGACCUGAGAGGGUGAUCGGCCACACUGGGACUGAGACACGGCCCAGACUCCUACGGGAGGCAGCAGUAGGGAAUCUUCCGCAAUGGACGAAAGUCUGACGGAGCAACGCCGCGUGAGUGAUGAAGGUUUUCGGAUCGUAAAGCUCUGUUGUUAGGGAAGAACAAGUACCGUUCGAAUAGGGCGGUACCUUGACGGUACCUAACCAGAAAGCCACGGCUAACUACGUGCCAGCAGCCGCGGUAAUACGUAGGUGGCAAGCGUUGUCCGGAAUUAUUGGGCGUAAAGGGCUCGCAGGCGGUUUCUUAAGUCUGAUGUGAAAGCCCCCGGCUCAACCGGGGAGGGUCAUUGGAAACUGGGGAACUUGAGUGCAGAAGAGGAGAGUGGAAUUCCACGUGUAGCGGUGAAAUGCGUAGAGAUGUGGAGGAACACCAGUGGCGAAGGCGACUCUCUGGUCUGUAACUGACGCUGAGGAGCGAAAGCG
rnacentral:rRNA from 1 species